rnacentral:misc_RNA from 1 species
GAAGGAGGAAAACUAAAAGAGAAAAGAAAAGAAAGAAAAGAGAAGAAAACAAGAAGUGGAACAGUCCAAACUCAACUUCAACAUCAAGCACCCAAGAACAGAAAAAGGCUGAAAAGUUUUAAAAAGAAGUACCUGAACUCAGAAAACAAGCCUUCUAAAAGUCCCAAAAUUUGAAGAAUGGAUGACAAAGGAAUUAAACAGAUCAUAAC